ACUAAUAAUAUUACCUCAAAGUUAGAGGUUCUCCGUUACUGGGAACUUCAUAUCGGAUCCGAUCAAUUUAUUGGUUCCAUUCCCCCUAGUAUAAUGAUCCAUUUGCAGUGACGAUGACAAUCAAAGUUUAGGGCAAGAAAUAUAGAAGAUAAAGAAAAAUAUAAACAAUUACAACUGUACAGUAGAAAUGAUCGGCAAAACAAGAUAAACAGAAGACAACAAGGCCUAAAUGGUGCAGAGACUUCUUGGUUUUCAUGAUCAUCAACAGAUCAAUACAGAAGAGGAAACUUAAGGUUAAUACUUUUCUACAUUGUGUGCUAAUUGGAUUAAUGUGAAAUGAAAUGUGUGCUUACCUGGAAAAAGAAAAUAGGAAAUUUCUACAAAAUGGCUGUAAACAAAAUGGAGUACAAUCAUAGAUGCACAAGAACACAAUUGUGUAAUUGCAACAACCUACACUGAAGGAUUAGGGAGAAAUGUAGAAAAAAUAGUAUUUUUUUGUCGAAAUAAACACCUGCUUUAUCCAUUCAUGUACAUAGCUCUGUCAUAUCAACUAUAUAGAGGAAGAUGUUUGAAGAACAAAUUGCAAAAAUGUAUUCUCAACCAAUUGAAGGAAGAUGUCUGGUGGAUGGAAUUAUUUAUGCACUGAACUGUUUUGUAGGGGAUUGAAUAAUUGUACGCAGCAGAAAAGUUAAAUUAACAUGAAAAGUGGUUAUUUUAUUUGAUCCGCAAAUAUGAGCACAAUAUUAAUAACAUCACAAAUAGUAUGAUAUUCAUAGCGUUUUGCUUAUUAUUGUAUUGUCUCAAACAGCUAGCCUAUUGUUUUU